rnacentral:snRNA from 1 species
GUGCUUGCUUCAGCAGCACAUAUACUAAAAUUGGAAUGAUACAGAGAAGAUCAGCAUGGCCCCUGUGCAAGGAUGACAUGAAAAUUAAGUGAAGUGUUCCAUAUUUUU